UACGUAGGGACCAAGCGUUGUUCGGAUUUACUGGGCGUAAAGGGCGCGUAGGCGGCUUAACAAGUCACUUGUGAAAUCUCCGGGCUUAACUCGGAACGGCCAAGUGAAACUGUCAAGCUAGAGUGCAGAAGGGGCAAUCGGAAUUCUUGGUGUAGCGGUGAAAUGCGUAGAUAUCAAGAGGAACACCUGAGGUGAAGACGGGUUGCUGGGCUGACACUGACGCUGAGGCGCGAAAGCCAGGGGAGCAAA
rnacentral:rRNA from 1 species